UCCAAAUCUAGUGGGUUGAUGAGCCCCGCUCUGCUUUACAUGCACCGAUUCACUACCCACACCAUUAUGGGACGUGGCAAUAAUUUGGCUAUUGUAAACGCCAAUGAACUAUUUUUCCUACGGUGCAUGGUGACUGGUCAGCAUUGUAUUUCCUCUGCAACCACUUUCGAAGGAUAUCCCACCAAGCCACGUGGAACAUCGCAAUGAGCGGCCUGAUCACAACAAUUGCUUUUCAUUUUGGGUUUGUG
rnacentral:misc_RNA from 1 species